rnacentral:pre_miRNA from 1 species
GUUGUACUCCCUCCGUUCGGAAUUACUUGUCACAGAAAUGGAUGUAUCUAGACGUAUUUUAGUUCUAGAUAUAUCCAUUUCCGAGACAAGUAAUUCCGAACGGAGGGAGUAUUAG